UUUUAAUUAUUAUUACAAAACUUUUGUAAUAUUAAAAGAAAACAUUUCUUAUUGCAUCAUGAAGACCAUCAAGACCAAGUUUCAAUAAGUUUAAUUAAUUCAUCGAUAGCAUAUGAUUAAUAUUUUUUAUUUAUAAUUCAUUCAAUUAAUCAUACUUAUUUCUUUUUAAUUUUUCAGGCUCUAAUGAAUGAAUCCGGGUUGCUGGAUGAGUUGGGUGACCCUGAAUCUACCCUUUAGAUACGUAAGGCGUUUUUGAGUAAGCUGAUAUGUAAUUAGUCCUCCUAAUUAUAUUAUGACGACAUUUUAUAAAUGUUCCAAGUAACGAGGUAUCGAGUGCCACUGAAUGCUGUCCUGUUAUUUUAUUUUGAGCUAAACUACCACAUUCAGCAUCUCUACACUCGACCCGCGACCCCAAGAACCAGUGUUCUUCUACUCUAGACUUGGUAAUAUUAGUCCCUACAAUGCAAGUUACAUCGAUAGAGUGAAGCCAAGAGGAGAAAAAAUUAUAUUGAUAAAUAUUAUAAUAUAUAGAUAUAAUUUAAAAAAUUUCAAGAAAAAUCCAAAUCAUAUUGUUCACAUUCCAGUUUUCUUACGGCAGCAAAAAUGUAGCCGACGAGGCUACUCUAUGUAAUAAACUAUUUAUAUACAUAAUCCUGGUCAUUCCGGCACCAAAAAUGUACCUUACCCCAUCUACUACUAAACUAAUUAACUAAAAUUCAACCAGGAUUAAAUAAAAAUAGGAAAAUAAAUAAAAUUUGGCCAUGUGAUCGUCUAGUGUAUUUACAUUGUGAACCUUAGUACCCUUCGUCUUUUAUGUGAAAACUGAUACGAUUUGGAUUUUUCAAAACUAUCCCUAAAUAUCCUAUGAAUUUGUAAAUAUUCCUACUGUAUAUUUUUAUUAACACUAUUGUUAGACAAAUAAAAAAAAAUAGUAAAUAAUAUAUAUUUUUUAGAAUUUAUCUCCUACCGGGCCCUACCGUGACCAGUUACCGUGAACAGUAGUAAGCCCUUUUUGUUUGUAAUUUAAAAACUUAUAUUUUCCUUUUAAUAUAUCUCUUCGCUAA